rfam:Beta vulgaris subsp. vulgaris chromosome 5, whole genome shotgun sequence.
GUAAAAUAGUGAGUAAAGAGCCUGAAAGAACUCAGAAAGUGAGUGUUGUCAUCAGCUUCGUCCUUUUGUUAAUUACGGGAUUGGAGUUAAAUAACAGCACUAGAUUU